GGCGUUCGGGUGAACUAUGGUUAAGGAACUCGGCAAAAUGCCCCCGUAACUUCGGGAGAAGGGGGGCCAUGUCUGGUGAUCCGAUUUACUCGGUGAGCUGGGUGUGGCCGCAGAGACCAGCGAGAAGCGACUGUUUACUAAAAACACAGGUCCGUGCGAAGCCGUAAGGCGAUGUAUACGGACUGACGCCUGCCCGGUGCUGGAACGUUAAGGGGACCGGUUAGUCACAUUUCGGUGUGGCGAAGCUGAGAACUUAAGCGCCAGUAAACGGCGGUGGUAACUAUAACCAUCCUAAGGUAGCGAAAUUCCUUGUCGGGUAAGUUCCGACCUGCACGAAUGGCGUAACGACUUCUCGACUGUCUCAACCAUAGGCCCGGUGAAAUUGCAUUACGAGUAAAGAUGCUCGUUUCGCGCAGCAGGACGGAAAGACCCCGGGACCUUUACUACAGUUUGAUAUUGGUGUUCGGUUCGGCUUGUGUAGGAUAGGUGGGAGACUGUGAAGCAUGCACGCCAGUGUGUGUGGAGUCGUCGUUGAAAUACCACUCUGGUCGUGCUGGAUGUCUAACCUGGGUCCGUGAUCCGGAUCAGGGACAGUGUCUGAUGGGUAGUUUAACUGGGGCGGUUGCCUCCUAAAGAGUAACGGAGGCGCCCAAAGGUUCCCUCAGCCUGGUUGGUAAUCAGGUGUUGAGUGUAAGUGCACAAGGGAGCUUGACUGUGAGACCGACGGGUCGAGCAGGGACGAAAGUCGGGACUAGUGAUCCGGCGGUGGCUUGUGGAAGCGCCGUCGCUCAACGGAUAAAAGGUACCCCGGGGAUAACAGGCUGAUCUUCCCCAAGAGUCCAUAUCGACGGGAUGGUUUGGCACCUCGAUGUCGGCUCGUCGCAUCCUGGGGCUGGAGUCGGUCCCAAGGGUUGGGCUGUUCGCCCAUUAAAGCGGUACGCGAGCUGGGUUUAGAACGUCGUGAGACAGUUCGGUCCCUAUCCGCUGUGCGCGUAGGAAUAUUGAGAAGGGCUGUCCCUAGUACGAGAGGACCGGGACGGACGAACCUCUGGUGUGCCAGUUGUUCUGCCAAGGGCAUGGCUGGUUGGCUACGUUCGGGAGGGAUAACCGCUGAAAGCAUCUAAGCGGGAAGCCUGCUUCGAGAUGAGUAUUCCCACCUCCUUGAGAGGGUAAGGCUCCCAGUAGA
rnacentral:rRNA from 1 species